AUACUUACCUGGCAGGGGAGAUACCAUGAUCAUGCAGGUGGUUUUCCCAGGGCAAGGCUGAUCCAUUGCACAGGGGAUCUGCUGAUCCCUGUGAUUUCCCCACAUGGAGGAAAGUUGACUACAUAAGUUGCGUCC
rnacentral:snRNA from 1 species